GGGGGUUUAGCUCAGUUGGUAGAGCGUUCGCUUAGCAUUGAUUCGUCUAUUUUGCGAAAGGUCGCGUGUUCGACUCAUGCAGUCUCCA
rnacentral:tRNA from 1 species